rnacentral:rRNA from 1 species
UACGGGGGGGGCAAGCGUUGUUCGGAAUUACUGGGCGUAAAGGGCUCGUAGGCGGCCAACUAAGUCAGACGUGAAAUCCCUCGGCUUAACCGGGGAACUGCGUCUGAUACUGGAUGGCUUGAGUUCGGGAGAGGUGAGUGGAACUGCGAGUGUAGAGGUGAAAUUCGUAGAUAUUCGCAAGAACACCAGUGGCGAAGGCGGCUCACUGGCCCGGUACUGACGCUGAGGUGCGAAAGCGUGGGGAGCAAACAGG